AUUGAACGCUGGCGGAAUGCUUUACACAUGCAAGUCGAACAGCAGCACGGACUUCGGUCUGGUGGCGAGUGGCGAACGGGUGAGUAAUAUAUAGGAACGUAUCCAAUAAUGGGGGAUAACUAAUCGAAAGGUUGGCUAAUACCGCAUACGUCCUACGGGAGAAAGCUAGGGACCUUCGGGCCUGGCGUUAAUGGAGCGGCCGAUAUCGGAUUAACUAGUUGGUGAGGUAAAGGCUCACCAAGGCGACGAUCCGUAGCUGGUCUGAGAGGACGAACGGCCAAACUGGAACGGGGACACGGUCCGGACUCCUACGGGAGGCAGCAGUGGGGAAUUUUGUACAAUGGGCGAAAGCCGGAUCCAGCCAUUCCGCGUGAGUGAAGAAGGCCUUCGGGUUGUAAAGCUCUUUCGCAAGAGAAGAAAACUUACCCUCUAACAUAGGGUGAGGUUGACGGUAUCUUGAUAAGAAGCACCGGCUAACUACGUGCCAGCAGCCGCCGUAA
rnacentral:rRNA from 1 species